rnacentral:misc_RNA from 1 species
UACGGAGGGGGCAAGCGUUAUUCGGAAUUACUGGGCGUAAAGGGCGCGUAGGCGGCCAGGCAAGUCCAGGGUGAAAUCCCUCGGCCCAACCGAGGAACUGCCCUCGAAACUGCUUGGCUCGAGGCCGGUAGAGGACAGUGGAAUUCCCAGUGUAGCGGUGAUAUGCGUAGAUAUUGGGAGGAACACCAGUGGCGAAGGCGGCUGUCUGGGCCGGAUCUGACGCUGAAGCGCGAAAGCGUGGGGAGCAAACAGG